rnacentral:rRNA from 1 species
CACGUUCGGAAACGGACGCUAAUACCGCAUACGUCCUACGGGAGAAAGCAGGGGACCUUCGGGCCUUGCGCUAUCAGAUGAGCCUAGGUCGGAUUAGCUAGUUGGUGGGGUAAUGGCUCACCAAGGCGACGAUCCGUAACUGGUCUGAGAGGAUGAUCAGUCACACUGGAACUGAGACACGGUCCAGACUCCUACGGGAGGCAGCAGUGGGGAAUAUUGGACAAUGGGCGAAAGCCUGAUCCAGCCAUGCCGCGUGUGUGAAGAAGGUCUUCGGAUUGUAAAGCACUUUAAGUUGGGAGGAAGGGUUGUAUAUUAAUACUCUGCAAUUUUGACGUUACCG